AUACAGAGGUGGCAAGCGUUGUUCGGAUUCAUUGGGCGUAAAGCGUGUGUAGGUGGUUAUGAAAGUUUGGUGUGAAAUCCUCCGGCUCAACCGGAGAACUGCACCGAAAACUUCAUGACUUGAGUGUGUGAGAGGAAAGCGGAAUUCCUGGUGUAAGAGUGAAAUCUGUAGAUAUCGGGAGGAACACCAGUGGCGAAGGCGGCCUUCUGGACGGUGACUGACGCUGAGACGCGAAAGCGUGGGGAGCAAACAGGAUUAGAUACCCCAGUAGUCC
rnacentral:rRNA from 1 species